AGCGUGGUCGUCUCAGAUGUUGUCGAGCAUUUCCUCACAAAAAAGAAAGAAAGCAAGAGAAAAAAGAAAUGAAAAAGGAAGCCAGCAGAUGCAGGAAAAAUGAAGCCUUGGUCCGCUCAUCCAGAUGUUACAUCAUGCCAGAAACGUUCAGGGUGUACCCCGCCUCCUGCCCGAUGACAGCUGGGAUAGGCUCCAGCACUCCCACGACCCUUGUGAGGAGAAGCGGCUCAGAAAAUGGAUGGAUGGUUGGAUCGUGCAAGCAGAACAGCGCAGAGGAGGAAAAGUGAAGAAAUGUCGCUGAG